UACGUAGGGCGCAAGCGUUGUCCGGAAUUAUUGGGCGUAAAGAGCUCGUAGGCGGCCAGUUGCGUCCGCUGUGAAAUCCCGGGGCUUAACCCCGGGCGUGCAGUGGAUACGGGCUGGCUAGAGGCAGGCAGGGGAGAACGGAAUUCCCGGUGUAGCGGUGAAAUGCGCAGAUAUCGGGAGGAAGACCAGUGGCGAAGGCGAGUUUCUGGACGGUAACGUGACGCUGAGGCACGGAAAGCGUGGG
rnacentral:rRNA from 1 species